ensembl:lncRNA
GUCAACAUCCAAACUCUAGUUCUCAUCUCUCAUUUCCUGAAGACCAGCCAGCAUCCUACUUGCACUGAGGACUUCUGUUGGUACUAAUUGGCUAGAGGGAGAUUCCCGGAUUGAUCCAGAACAUCCUUUCCAUGCUAAGGCAGAAGGACUUGGAGUAAGAAGCUGCAUUGAGGCAUGGACGAGUAGAAGAUAGGAAUGAACGAUGAAGAUCAGCCACUGGGACUGACUCGGUUGCAAAGGAUGGGAAUCUUCCCAACCCAGGGAUUGAACCCAGGUCUCCUGCAUUGCAGCCAGAUUCUUUACCAGCUGAGCCACAAG